CAAUAGCGUAUAUUAAAGUUGUUGCAGUUAAAAAGCUCGUAGUUGAAUUUUGGAACCGAGGAACUGGUCGACCUAACGGUUUUGUACCUGGUUCUUUGGUUCUUUUAUCUGAAGGUCAUAUCUGCGCUUAACUGAGUGGGUAUGAGUUUCAGGUCGUUUACUUUGAGAAAAUUAGAGUGUUCAAAGCAGGCUUACGCAAUUGAAUACAUUAGCAUGGAAUAAUGGAAUAAGACUUUGGUCUUAUUUUGUUGGUUUUUAUGACCAAAGUAAUGAUUAAUAGGGAUAGUUGGGGGCAUUAGUAUUUAAUUGUCAGAGGUGAAAUUCUUGGAUUUAUUAAAGACUAACUUCUGCGAAAGCAUUUGCCAAGGAUGUUUUCAUUAA
rnacentral:rRNA from 1 species